CGUGUUCCCGUACGAUCACCGAAGUUAAGCAACGUCGAGCCUGGUCAGUACCUAGAUGGGUGACCACUUGGGAAUAUUGAGUGCU